rnacentral:rRNA from 1 species
UUUGAUCAUGGCUCAGAUUGAACGCUGGCGGCAUGCCUUACACAUGCAAGUCGAACGGCAGCACGGGAGCAAUCCUGGUGGCGAGUGGCGAACGGGUGAGUAAUAUAUCGGAACGUGCCCAGUCGUGGGGGAUAACGCAGCGAAAGCUGUGCUAAUACCGCAUACGAUCUCUGGAUGAAAGCGGGGGACCUGCAAGGGCCUCGCGCGAUUGGAGCGGCCGAUAUCAGAUUAGCUAGUUGGUGGGGUAAAAGCUCACCAAGGCGACGAUCUGUAGCUGGUCUGAGAGGACGACCAGCCACACUGGAACUGAGACACGGUCCAGACUCCUACGGGAGGCAGCAGUGGGGAAUUUUGGACAAUGGGCGCACUGUAUCCAGCAAUGCCGCGUGCAGGAUGAAGGCCUUCGGGUUGUAAACUGCUUUUGUACGGAACGAAAAGGCUCUUUUUAAUAAAGAGGGCUCAUGACGGUACCGUAAGAAUAAGCACCGGCUAACUACGUGCCAGCAGCCGCGGUAAUACGUAGGGUGCGAGCGUUAAUCGGAAUUACUGGGCGUAAAGCGUGCGCAGGCGGUUUUGUAAGACAGAUGUGAAAUCCCCGGGCUCAACCUGGGACCUGCAUUUGUGACUGCAAGGCUAGAGUACGGUAGAGGGGGAUGGAAUUCCGCGUGUAGCAGUGAAAUGCGUAGAUAUUCGGAGGAACACCGAUGGCGAAGGCAAUCCCCUGGACCUGUACUGACGCUCAUGCACGAAAGCGUGGGGAGCAAACAGGAUUAGAUUACCCUGGUAGUCCACGCCCUAAACGAUGUCAACUGGUUGUUGGGUCUUUACUGACUCAGUAACGAAGCUAACGCGUGAAGUUGACCGCCUGGGGAGUACGGCCGCAAGGUUGAAACUCAAAGGAAUUGACGGGGACCCGCACAAGCGGUGGAUGAUGUGGUUUAAUUCGAUGCAACGCGAAAAACCUUACCCACCUUUGACAUGUACGGAACCCUUUAGAGAUAGAGGGGUGCUCGAAAGAGAGCCGUAACACAGGUGCUGCAUGGCUGUCGUCAGCUCGUGUCGUGAGAUGUUGGGUUAAGUCCCGCAACGAGCGCAACCCUUGUCAUUAGUUGCUACAUUCGUUGGGCACUCUAAUGAGACUGCCGGUGACAAGCCGGAGGAAGGUGGGGAUGACGUCAAGUCCUCAUGGCCCUUAUAGGUGGGGCUACACACGUCAUACAAUGGCUGGUACAAAGGGUUGCCAACCCGCGAGGGGAGCUAAUCCCACAAAGCCAGUCGUAGUCCGGAUCGUAGUCUGCAACUCGACUACGGGAAGUCGGAAUCGCUAGUAAUCGUGGAUCAGAUUGUCUCGGUAAAUACGUCCCGGUCUUGUACACACCGCCCGUCACACCAUGGGAGCGGGUUCUGCCAGAAGUAGUUAGCUUAACCGCAAGAGGYGCGAUUACCACGGCAGGGUUCGUGACUGGGGUGAUGUCGUAACAAGG